UACGUAGGGGGCAAGCGUUGUCCGGAAUCAUUGGGCGUAAAGAGCGUGUAGGCGGCCUGGUAGGUCUGCUGUGAAAACUCGAGGCUCAACCUCGAGAUGUCGGCGGAAACCAUCUGGCUAGAGUCCGGAAGAGGAGAGUGGAAUUCCCGGUGUAGCGGUGAAAUGCGCAGAUAUCGGGAAGAACACCCGUGGCGAAGGCGGCUCUCUGGGACGGUACUGACGCUGAGACGCGAAAGCGUGGGGAGCGAACAGG
rnacentral:rRNA from 1 species